GGACACGUGAAAUCCUGUCUGAAGAUGGGGGGACCAUCCUCCAAGGCUAAAUACUCGUAAUCGACCGAUAGUGAACCAGUACCGUGAGGGAAAGGCGAAAAGAACCCCGGGAGGGAGUGAAAUAGAUCCUGAAACCGCAUGCAUACAAACAGUGGGAGCCCGCAAGGGUGACUGCGUACCUUUUGUAUAAUGGGUCAGCGACUUACGUUCAGUAGCGAGCUUAACCGAAUAGGGGAGCGUAGCGAAAGCGAGUCUGAAUAGGGCGAUUCAGUUGCUGGGCGUAGACCCGAAACCAGAUGAUCUAUCCAUGGCCAGGAUGAAGGUGCCGUAACAGGUACUGGAGGUCCGAACCCACUAGUGUUGAAAAACUAGGGGAUGAGCUGUGGAUAGGGGUGAAAGG
rnacentral:rRNA from 1 species